CAGAUCCUUGUUGUAGGUGCUUGGAAGUCCUUUGAGAACCAUGAGAAUAGCAGCCAACUGCAGAGAGAAACAGCAGGCUCACCCGUCCAAACACUCGUCCAGCUUUGCUGCGGAUCAGUUCCAGACUGUCGGGGUUCUUCUUCUGAGGCAUCAUGCUGCUGCCAGUGCUGAAGGAAAGGAGACUCUGCUGCUGCCCUGAUCGGUGUCUGUCAAAGAGCAAGCCAAGAAGUCUCCAGCCCCAGCAAGGCCAAGGCCAUGGAUAUGGAAAAGGACUUACAUGGCAGCACGUUCCACCAGGGUCUUAAUGAGCUGCAGGAGUGUGCAGCUUUCCAGCUAUGUCUCCAAUCAGCUCCUGAGGACAAAAGGAGGAUUUCUAUCAGCAUCUCUGUAUUCUAUGAAGGCGACUCCACAUGAGCAGACCUCCUCCCUGCCUGGAAGGGACUCAGCGCUAGGAUCCUAAUCAGAGGUGAGGUGUCAGAACUAUUGCAAAGACGUUUGCUGUCCCCUUCUCCAUUUAAAACCCGGGAAAACACAUCAAGUAGAGAAGCACCCGAACGAGCACGGCAGGUUGCAGUGCUGGGGUUAUCACGCAGUUGAGCUCGCGUCUGCCAGACCACCCUGAGACCACCCCCGCCGGAGAAGCAAAGUUCACCCUCACCUCGGCUGCCAUUUCGGACGACGUUUUGCUCGUUUGUGCAGCGAUCUUGGCAACUGGUGCAACCUGCGGAACAGCGAGGUGAGAUCCUUGUUGUAGGUGCUUGGAAGUCCUUUGAGAACCAUGAGAAUAGCAGCCAACUGCAGAGAGAAACAGCAGGCUCACCCGUCCAAACACUCGUCCAGCUUUGCUGCGGAUCAGUUCCAGACUGUCGGGGUUCUUCUUCUGAGGCAUCAUGCUGCUGCCAGUGCUGAAGGAAAGGAGACUCUGCUGCUGCCCUGAUCGGUGUCUGUCAAAGAGCAAGCCAAGAAGUCUCCAGCCCCAGCAAGGCCAAGGCCAUGGAUAUGGAAAAGGACUUACAUGGCAGCACGUUCCACCAGGGUCUUAAUGAGCUGCAGGAGUGUGCAGCUUUCCAGCUAUGUCUCCAAUCAGCUCCUGAGGACAAAAGGAGGAUUUCUAUCAGCAUCUCUGUAUUCUAUGAAGGCGACUCCACAUGAGCAGACCUCCUCCCUGCCUGGAAGGGACUCAGCGCUAGGAUCCUAAUCAGAGGUGAGGUGUCAGAACUAUUGCAAAGACGUUUGCUGUCCCCUUCUCCAUUUAAAACCCGGGAAAACACAUCAAGUAGAGAAGCACCCGAACGAGCACGGCAGGUUGCAGUGCUGGGGUUAUCACGCAGUUGAGCUCGCGUCUGCCAGACCACCCUGAGACCACCCCCGCCGGAGAAGCAAAGUUCACCCUCACCUCGGCUGCCAUUUCGGACGACGUUUUGCUCGUUUGUGCAGCGAUCUUGGCAACUGGUGCAACCUGCGGAACAGCGAGGUGAGCCUGGCUGGGAGCUGGCAUACAGGCAGUUUCACGUGCAGAGUUUGAAACAUGGCAGAGAAGUUACAGAGCAUUUGUUGUGCCGGUUUUGGCCAAUUUACAAGGACUCCAUGACAAAUGAUUCUGGAGUAUAAAUUAAUUUCUAUCUGUACUACAAUCUGUGUGUGAUGGGGUCCACAUGUCCACUGAAACUUUUUUAUGAGUCUUCAACUGAAAAGGGCAGAAAAAGCUUUGCAGUAGGCUUUUAAACUUUGUCCAGCACUUCGGUGUCUGAUGAUGAUGGUUCCUGGAGAGCUGGGAGGUGGUUGUUGGCCACUGUCCUGGCACUGAAGACUGUUCCUGAAGCGCUGCAGUUUCUCAUGUUAUUCAGAACUGGCUUAGGAUUUGCAACACCCCAAGGAGCAUCAAAGUCCCAGAAGUGGGAAUGGACUUUAUUCUGGCUUGAUUCUGGGGAGAAAAGUGGCUGGUGGAUUUUGUGCUAGUAUUGCAAGACGGAGGUUGUGAGCACAAGUCUAAUCCAUUCGGUUCCUUAGUUUGCUCUUACAGCCCUGCUGCAAACAAGCAAGUGUGUGUGUAUAUGACUCCUUAGGGAGUUAGUGGUGUUGUGUUUGCAUAUAAACUUUUGCCUGAGAGAUAAUGGCAAAAUUAAGUAAUUAAUGUUUCCCUGGCUCUCAGUCUCUGAGCCAGACAGUUUUCCUUUCUGUAGCCAAUAGAACUUUCAGCUAUUUGCACUCAAUGAAGUGUGUUCAGUUUUCUCAAGAAUGAAAAGGGCUCUUGCAAAAUUUAAUAGCACAUAUAUUAAAUGAGAAAGAAGCACAGUGGUGGCAGGAAAAGACAUACGAUGCUGAUGAGCCUGGUAAAAUGUCUGUAGAGGUGCUUAAAAGAGAAUAGCAGUAUUACACUAGUUCAGCCUUACAGUAUUCUGUUUGCACAUGGCUAGAGAUUUUAUUUGGAAGGACCUCUACAAUACUGUUUCCCCCUUGUCAUCAUGCUUAACAGUGGCUAGCUGUCGGAACCUGAGUAGGUUUUUUCAGAACAUGUUUUGUCACAGA